rnacentral:rRNA from 1 species
GUUUGAUCCUGGCUCAGAUUGAACGCUGGCGGCAUGCCUUACACAUGCAAGUCGAACGGUAACGCGGGGGCAACCCUGGCGACGAGUGGCGAACGGGUGAGUAAUACAUCGGAACAUAUCCAGUAGCGGGGGAUAACCUAUCGAAAGAUGGACUAAUACCGCAUACGAUCUACGGAUGAAAGCAGGGGACCGCAAGGCCUUGCACUAUUGGAGUGGCCGAUGUCGGAUUAGCUAGUUGGUGGGGUAAAAGCUUACCAAGGCGACGAUCCGUAGCUGGUCUGAGAGGACGAUCAGCCACACUGGAACUGAGACACGGUCCAGACUCCUACGGGAGGCAGCAGUGGGGAAUUUUGGACAAUGGGCGCAAGCCCGAUCCAGCCAUGCCGCGUGAGUGAAGAAGGCCUUCGGGUUGUAAAGCUCUUUCGGUGAAGACGAAACGGUUCAUGCUAAUAACGUGAACUAAUGACGGUACUCACAGAAGAAGCACCGGCUAACUACGUGCCAGCAGCCGCGGUAAUACGUAGGGUGCAGGCGUUAAUCGGAAUUACUGGGCGUAAAGCGUGCGCAGGCGGUUUGCUAAGACAGGUGUGAAAUCCCCGGGCUUAACCUGGGAAUUGCGCUUGUAACUGGCAAGCUAGAGUGUGGCAGAGGGGGGUGGAAUUCCACGUGUAGCGGUGAAAUGCGUAGAUAUGUGGAGGAACACCGAUGGCGAAGGCAGCCCCCUGGGUUAACACUGACGCUCAUGCACGAAAGCGUGGGGAGCAAACAGGAUUAGAUACCCUGGUAGUCCACGCCCUAAACUAUGUCAACUAGUUGUCGGGGAAGAAAUUCCUUGGUAACGAAGCUAACGCGUGAAGUUGACCGCCUGGGGAGUACGGCCGCAAGGUUAAAACUCAAAGGAAUUGACGGGGACCCGCACAAGCGGUGGAUUAUGUGGAUUAAUUCGAUCAACGUGAAAAACCUUACCUACCCUUGACAUGCUAGGAAGCCCGCAGAGAUGUGGGUGUGCCCGAAAGGGAACCUAGACACAGGUGCUGCAUGGCUGUCGUCAGCUCGUGUCGUGAGAUGUUGGGUUAAGUCCCGCAACGAGCGCAACCCUUGCCAUUAGUUGCUACAUUCAGUUGGGCACUCUAAUGGGACCGCCGGUGACAAACCGGAGGAAGGUGGGGAUGACGUCAAGUCCUCAUGGCCCUUAUGGGUAGGGCUUCACACGUAAUACAAUGGUCGGUACAGAGGGCUGCCAACCCGCAAGGGGGAGCUAAUCCCAGAAAGCCGAUCGUAGUCCGGAUUGUAGUCUGCAACUCGACUGCAUGAAGCCGGAAUCGCUAGUAAUCGCGGAUCAGCAUGUCGCGGUGAAUACGUUCCCGGGUCUUGUACACACCGCCCGUCACACCAUGGGAGUGGGUUCCACCAGAAGUAGUUAGCCUAACCGCAAGGAGGGCGAUUACCACGGUGAGAUUCAUGACUGGGGUGAAGUCGAAACAAGGUA